ensembl:miRNA
GGCACGGCUUGCCGUCGCGCACCAGCACCGGCACCGCGAUCCUGCGCGCCGGCGGCGGCGGCGGCGGGGGCAG